GGGUUGUGAGGUUAAGCGACUAAGCGUACACGGUGGAUGCCCUGGCAGUCAGAGGCGAUGAAGGGCGUGCUAAUCUGCGAUAAGCGCCGGUAAGGUGAUAUGAACCGUUAUAACCGGCGAUACCCGAAUGGGGAAACCCAGUGUGACUCGUCACACUAUCAUUAACUGAAUCCAUAGGUUAAUGAGGCGAACCGGGGGAACUGAAACAUCUAAGUACCCCGAGGAAAAGAAAUCAACCGAGAUUCCCCCAGUAGCGGCGAGCGAACGGGGAGGAGCCCAGAGCCUGAAUCAGCAUGUGUGUUAGUGGAAGCGUCUGGAAAGGCGCGCGAUACAGGGUGACAGCCCCGUACACAAAAGCGCAUGUGCUGUGAGCUCGAUGAGUAGGGCGGGACACGUGGUAUCCUGUCUGAAUAUGGGGGGACCAUCCUCCAAGGCUAAAUACUCCUGACUGACCGAUAGUGAACCAGUACCGUGAGGGAAAGGCGAAAAGAACCCCGGCGAGGGGAGUGAAAAAGAACCUGAAACCGUGUACGUACAAGCAGUGGGAGCCCCACCACCAAAGCAUUCUCUGGUGUUGAAGGCCCUGCAAAGCAGCAUCGCGGUGGCGGAGCGUCGUUUGCGACGCCCAACACACAAAACAAGCGGUGAGUGCUUUGGGGUGGGGUGACUGCGUAC
rnacentral:rRNA from 1 species